UACCAGCACCCCGAGUGGUCGGGACGAUUAUUGGGCCUAAAGCAUCCGUAGCCGGUUCUGCAAGUCCCCCGUUAAAUCCAGCUGCUCAACAGAUGGGCCGCGGAGGAUACUACAGAGCUAGGAGGCAGGAGAGGCAAGCGGUACUCAGUGGGUAGGGGUAAAAUCCGUUGAUCCAUUGAAGACCACCAGUGGCGAAGGCGGCUUGCCAGAAUGCGCUCGACGGUGAGGGAUGAAAGCUGGGGGGAGCAAACAGG
rnacentral:rRNA from 1 species